rnacentral:misc_RNA from 1 species
GAUGAAGAACGCAGCAAAAUGCGAUAAGUAAUGUGAAUUGCAGAAUUCAGUGAAUCAUCGAAUCUUUGAACGCACAUUGCGCCCGCCAGUAUUCUGGCGGGCAUGCCUGUUCGAGCGUCAUUUCAACCCUCAAGCCCUCGGGUUUGGUGUUGGGGAUCGGCGAGCCUUUCUGGCAUGCCGGCCCCGAAAUCUAGUGGCGGUCUCGCUGCAGCCUCCAUUGCGUAGUAGUAAAACCCUCGCAACUGGAACGCGGCGCGGCCAAGCCGUUAAACCCCCAACUUCUGAAUGUUGACCUCGGAUCAGGUAGGAAUACCCGCUGAACUUAAGCAUAUCAAUAAGCGGAGGA